rnacentral:rRNA from 1 species
AUUCCAGCUCCAAUAGCGUAUAUUAAAGUUGUUGCAGUUAAAAAGCUCGUAGUUGGAUUUCUGGUAGGAGCGACCGGUCCGCCCUGUUAAGGGUGUGUACUAGCGUUGUCUCUGGCCAUCCUUGGGGAACUGCGCGGGGAGACUUGCGUUAGGGAACCCAUCGUUUACUGUGAAAAAAUUAGAGUGUUUAAAGCAGGCUUAUGCCGUUGAAUACAUUAGCAUGGAGUAAUAAGAUAGGACCGCGUGGUCGUCUUGUUGGUUUGCACCGCGAGGUAAUGAUUAAUAGGUACAGUUGGGGGUAUUCGUAUUUAAUUGUCAGAGGUGAAAUUCUUGGAUUUAUGAAGGACGAACUUCUGCGAAAGCAUUUACCAAGGAUGUUUUCAUUG